rnacentral:lncRNA from 1 species
AUUUUAAAUUCAAUUUUAUAAAGAUUUAUUAUUUAUCAAAUUAGCCACUAUCUAACUUGGUAAGUAACAAAAUUAAAUAAGGAAACAAAUAUUUGUGCAAGGUCAAUCAAAUUUGGUAAUUAGCUUGUAUUUAUUUUUCAAUAUUACCCUUAUACUAUUAAUCUUCAAUGGUAAUCUGUUGAGCAGAUAAUUAUUAUGUAAAAGUCAAUUUUGUUCUUAAAAUAUAAAUGACUAGAUUUAAUUGAGUCGGUGUAUUGAACUCAAAUAAAAAAUAAACUUAAGUAUAAUUUUUUAUGCUACAGAAGAAUAUAGUGAAAAUAAGUUA